rnacentral:ncRNA from 2 species
CGCAACACACACGGGAGUCCGGGCGAUGCCGGGCUGAGAGGGAGCGACCAGCGCUCCGACCGUCGAACCUGAUCCGGGUCAUGCCGGCGCAGGGAGGAGUCAUCAUGCGCGAU